UCUACACUGGCCUCCUCAGUUUCCUUCCAGUCUUCUUCUGAUCCAUCCUCAGUGUCUUCAAAGGAUAGUCCCAUGGACUUCCACAGCUGGGAGGUCUCCUCCUGUAUUUUCUCACUUCCCUCUUGUCUCUCCUCUCCUUUUUGCCUCGGGUCUUCAUGUCUCUCCCUCUCCAUUUCUUUGUGUAUUUGAAUUUCUACUUCAUCUCUUUUUCGCUCCAUCACCACUCUCACUUUCUCAAUCUCCUCUCUCUUUCUCACCAUCUCUGCUUUAGCUCUCUCAAUCUCUAUCCCUCUUUCCUGUCUCUGUCUAUUCAGCUCUGUCUCAACUCUCACUUUCUCAAUCUCCUCUCUGUUUCUCUCUGUUUCCCGUCUCUCCAACUCAUCCAUCCACAAGUCAUCGGAGUCAGUCGCCCGGUCGCUGUCAUCGCUGUCUCCUGAAAGAGUCUCCCCCCUCCUGUUCAUCACCUCUUCAGUCUUUCUCAUCUCCUCCUUUUCUCUCACUUUUCUUGCCUCCUCUCUUGCUUUCUCCUCCUCAAUCUCUAUCUUUCUCCUCUCGUCCUCUUUUUGCUCCUUCUGUGCUGCUUUCUCCAUCUCCUCUUUCUUUCUCACCAUCUCUGCUAUCAUCAUCUCCUCCAUCCUUUUCUCCUGUUCUUCUCUUUUUUGCUCUGUCUCAACUCUCACUUUCUCAAUCUCCUCUCUCUUUCUCUCUGUUUCCCGUCUCUCCAACUCAUCCAUCCACAAGUCAUCGGAGUCAGUCGCCCAGUCGCUGUCAUCGCUGUCUCCUGACAGAGCCUCCCCCCUCCUGUUCAUCACCUCUUUAGUCUUUCUCAUCUCCUCCCUUUCUCUCACUUCUUUCUUCUCCUCAAUCUCUUUCUUUUUCCUCUCGUCCUCUUUUUGCUCCUUCUGUGCUGCUUUCUCCAUCUCUUUUUUCUUUCUUUCAUCCUCUAUCUUUUGGACUAUUUCUAAGUCUCCGCUCAUCCUGAGUGUCUUGUUUUCUUUCUGUGCUACCAUCUCCCCCUUUUUUCUCUCUUUUUUCUUUCCUCCGUUGUCCACAUCUCUCAUCCUCUUUUCGUCCAUCUGCCUCUGUUUCUCUCUCUCUGCAUCCUCUU
ensembl:lncRNA